AGAGUUUGAUCCUGGCUCAGGACGAACGCUGGCGGCGUGCUUAACACAUGCAAGUCGAGCGGUAAGGCCCUUCGGGGUACACGAGCGGCGAACGGGUGAGUAACACGUGGGUGACCUGCCCUCAGCUCUGGGAUAAGCCUGGGAAACUGGGUCUAAUACCGGAUAUGACCUUCCAUCGCAUGGUGGGGGGUGGAAAGUUUUUCGGCUGGGGAUGGGCCCGCGGCCUAUCAGCUUGUUGGUGGGGUGAUGGCCUACCAAGGCGACGACGGGUAGCCGGCCUGAGAGGGCGACCGGCCACACUGGGACUGAGACACGGCCCAGACUCCUACGGGAGGCAGCAGUGGGGAAUAUUGCGCAAUGGGCGAAAGCCUGACGCAGCGACGCCGCGUGGGGGAUGACGGCCUUCGGGUU
rnacentral:rRNA from 1 species